GUCUUGGAGGUGGCCGGUCCAAAGCUCCUCCUUGACAUUGAUAAUACGGCCAUCCUCCAAAAAGAAAGACCGCUGUCCCUCUUCCUCAGACAUGCCAAGGAUGCUGAUGGUGUCGAUGGCGGGGAUGGCGGCGAUGGCCUUCUGUUGAACCUCCUGCAAGGUACUGGAGAAGGAGCCAGGUUUGCCCUGUUUAAGAUGGCUGAUGGAGACGUGGACUCCCAGGGAGAUGGGGAGUAGCGCCUGCUCCCGCCACAGGACGAUGUCAGCUUCAACACCGUCCUGCUUCAAUAAAGAAGUGGUUCUUUCCCCCUGAUGCUGUAUAUGCCAUACUGCCUAAUGAUGUGAUCCAGAAGGCCUAGUUAUUUUCCUUUUCAAUGGCAUGUCGUUCCUAAUUGUGUUCCCUGUUCCAAUUUGUUCUUCCAGUUCUGCCUGUUUAUUUUAUUUAUUAGUUGUAUAGUUUAUUAGGUAUAUUAUAGUAGUGUAGUUAGUUGUAUCGUUUUUUUUUCUAUGUCUGUUUAUUUAAUCGUUCAGUAGUAUUCUUAUGUAGUAGUUUUUUUUUCAGUAUUACUGUGUUUCUUUGCUUUAUUGCAAUUAAAAUUACAAUAGUAUAAUAAAUUGAAAAAUGUUAGUGAGUAAAUUCAGCGAGUUAGGUAGCUAGUGAAAGUAAAAAAUAUUAGCCAACACUCAGUUAGAAUAUCACAUUUACUUAAGUCUCAAUCUCAUUUACCAAAAUGUUUGCGUUGCUUGGCAACAGUCGCAAUGCCUAGGCCAGGGGUGUCAAACAGUCUUUGCUAAAUUUGUGCCCCCUGAGCAGAGAUUUUAAAGUGUCAAAAAAAGGCAUUCAUGACACAUUGGUGUCAUGUUCAGCGAAUAGACUUACCUUGAUCAAUGUGAAGAUGUUGUUUCUGUAGAAGUCUGUAAGUAAACAACACGAUACUACCAUUAGUAAUUUUUUGUUAUCUGGUGUCCUACCA